ACUUGGCUAUAGGCUGUUUAGCACAGUACAGAUUAAAGAUACAGUUACGUAAACAGCAAAGUAAUUUUAUAGUGCUUCAUCCAUUUAUCAUGCUUUGGUUUGCUAAUUUUUUCACAUACCUUUUUCUAUCACAGUCUGUUGCUUUUGUACACAUUUCUCAUAUUGGGGUUCGACAGGUAAACACAAACUGCUAUUUCAGUAGAAAAAGUUAUUGUUAUGAAUAUUAAACCCAAUAAAUUGUAUAAAGGUAAA
rnacentral:lncRNA from 1 species